rfam:Gossypium raimondii chromosome 3, whole genome shotgun sequence.
AUCCCAUGAUGAGGACACUUACGAACCAACUCCUUGAAUCUCUCCCAUACCUCAUAUAAGGACUCGUCAUACAAUUGUUGAAAAGUACUUUCUCAUUUUGCAAUU